AAAGUCGUAACAAGGUUUCCGUAGGUGAACCUGCGGAAGGAUCAUUAAAAAUUUACCAAAAAAUGAAAGUUUCUUCUUCUUUUGGUGCGCACCGUAACCAAUUUGCCUUGGCAGGGGCUUUGGGUGGAAAAAGAAUCUUUUUUUUACCCAACUUUCGCGUUGACUCCAUCCCACCUAAAAAUGGGACAGUCAUCGUGGAGAGCCGUUUCCCUGCCGAGGAACAACUUAAAAACACAUUUUAAAAACCUUUGUCUGAAAACUUUUUUUUUGUGAUGGCGAAAGUCACGCAAUAAAACCAAAAUAUAACUUUCAACAACGGAUCUCUUGGCUCUC
rnacentral:misc_RNA from 1 species